rnacentral:rRNA from 1 species
AUUGAACGCUGGCGGCGUGCUUAACACAUGCAAGUCGAUCGGUAACGCGGGGGCAACCCUGGCGACGAGAGGCGGACGGGUGAGGAACGCUUGGGAAUCUGCCCUUCAGCGGGGGACGACACGGGGAAACUCGUGCUAAUACAGCAUACGCUCCACGGAGGAAAGCCGGGGACCGCAAGGCCUGGCACUGAAGGAUGAGCCCAAGUCGGAUUAGCUAGUUGGCGGGGUAACGGCCCACCAAGGCGACGAUCCGGAGCUGGUCUGAGAGGACGAUCAGCCACACUGGGACUGAGACACGGCCCAGACUCCUACGGGAGGCAGCAGUGGGGAAUAUUGGACAAUGGGGGAAACCCUGAUCCAGCGACGCCGCGUGGGUGAAGAAGGCCUGCGGGUUGUAAAGCCCUUUCGGUAGGGACGAAAGCUCUCGACCUAACACGUCGGGAGGUUGACUUAACCUACAAAAGAAGCACCGGCUAACUCUGUGCCAGCAGCCGCCGUAACAC